GGCCUACGGGGGGCUGCAGUGGGGAAUAUUGGACAAUGGGGGCAACCCUGAUCCAGCCAUGCCGCGUGAGUGAAGAAGGCCUUCGGGUUGUAAAGCUCUUUCGACGGGGACGAUGAUGACGGUACCCGUAUAAGAAGCCCCGGCUAACUUCGUGCCAGCAGCCGCGGUAAUACGAAGGGGGCUAGCGUUGUUCGGAAUUACUGGGCGUAAAGCGCGCGUAGGCGGUGAUCCAUGUCAGCGGUGAAAGCCCGGAGCUCAACCCCGGAACUGCCUUUGAAACGGGAUCGCUAGAGUCCGAGAGAGGAUGGCGGAAUUCCUAGUGUAGAGGUGAAAUUCGUAGAUAUUAGGAAGAACACCGGUGGCGAAGGCGGCCAUCUGGCUCGGUACUGACGCUCAGGCGCGAACGCGUGGGGAUCAAACAGGAUUAGAUACCCUUGUAGUCUGC
rnacentral:rRNA from 1 species